UACGUAGGUGGCGAGCGUUGUCCGGAUUUACUGGGCGUAAAGGGCGUGCAGGCGGUUUGUUAAGUGCAGGGUGAAAGCUCCCGGCUCAACUGGGAGAGGUCCUUGCAUACUGGCGAACUCGAGGGAGGCAGAGGAAAGUGGAAUUCCCGGUGUAGUGGUGAUAUGCGUAGAGAUCGGGAGGAACACCUGUGGCGAAGGCGGCCCCCUGGGCCGGCCCUGACACUGAGACGCGAAGGCGUGGGGAGCGAACGGG
rnacentral:rRNA from 1 species